GUAGGUGGUUCGNUGCGUCGUCUGUGAAAUUCCGGGGCUUAACUUCGGGGUGGCAGGCGAUACGGGCAUAACUAGAGUGCUGUAGGGGAGACUGGAAUUCCUGGUGUAGCGGUGGAAUGCGCAGAUAUCAGGAGGAACACCGAUGGCGAAGGCAGGUCUCUGGGCAGUAACUGACGCUGAGGAGCGAAAGCAUGGGGAGCGAACAGGAUUAGAUACCCUGGUAGUCCAUGCUGUAAACGGUGGGCGUUAGGUGUGGGGACCGGUUUGGUUUCUGUGCCGUAGCUAACGCAUUAAGCGCCCCGCCUGGGGAGUACGGCCGCAAGGCUAAAACUCAAAGGAAUUGACGGGGGCCCGCACAAGCGGCGGAGCAUGUGGAUUAAUUCGAUGCAACGCGAAGAACCUUACCUGGGUUUGACAUGCACCAGACGGUUGUAGAGAUACGUACCUCCCUUUGUGGUUGGUGUGCAGGUGGUGCAUGGUUGUCGUCAGCUCGUGUCGUGAGAUGUUGGGUUAAGUCCCGCAACGAGCGCAACCCUUGUCUUAUGUUGCCAGCACUUUAGGUGGGGACUCAUGAGAGACUGCCGGGGUUAACUCGGAGGAAGGUGGGGAUGACGUCAAAUCAUCAUGCCCUUUAUGCCCAGGGCUUCACACAUGCUACAAUGGUUAGUACAACGCGCGGCAAACCUGUGAGGGUGAGCGAAUCGCUGAAAGCUAAUCUCAGUUCGGAUUGGGGUCUGCAACUCGACCCCAUGAAGUCGGAGUCGCUAGUAAUCGCAGAUCAGCAAUGCUGCGGUGAAUACGUUCCCGGGCCUUGUACACACCGCCCGUCACGUCAUGAAAGUUGGUAACACCCGAAGCCCAUGGCCUAACCA
rnacentral:rRNA from 1 species